CACCAUUCUUAUAUGAGUUCUUAACCACAGAUUUCCUGAUAUAGUGCACUUGGUUUUUCCACAGAGAAUUGAAGAGCAUCUGGUCUGUCAGUUUUGUUGUCUAGAUGUGAGCCUGGAGAUACCUUCUGCUUUGGAGAGAAGUGCCCGCACUUUUAAAGACAGAUCCUUUUGCAAACAAAGAUUAAAUUUGUUUUUGUCUUAUCAAUUAUUGGGUUAAAGUUUAGAGCGAUUCUGUCCACUGGAUCCUUACUUAUCUGAAUCCCUAAAUAAUUUAUUUUCUCUUUGACUGGGAUGCCAUUAAUUGACGUUACAGGACAAUACUUUGAAGCAAGCAGCUCACAUUUUUUAAGGUUAAGACACAGACCUCAAACUUUGGAAAACACUUCAAUUAACUCAACAGCAGCCUGUAUCUGUGAAACAUCUCCCAAGAAUAAAAUCGCAUCACAUUCUACAGAAUCACAAAGAGUCUGAAGGGCAGACAGACAGACAACUUUCACUUUCGCUUUUGUGACAUAUCAGAUGACGUCAAGAAACGGUAUUGGUCCAUCAGUGUAGUGCGGGAUUUUUGAAUAAAAACACUUGUGUUGAAGGGUGACGGUAAGGUGCUCAGGAUCUACACUCAGUACAGUUUUGGUUGCAUUCUUGAAUUUUGGACAAAAUGUUUUUAAUAUCCCAAUAUUUUGCAUCGUUUGCUAUCAUUUUUGUUAAGUGUUGAAGUGUAAUCGAUUGAAUGACUGAGUGUGUACUGUACUGAGAGGUCAUGUUACUGUCCUUUCCAGCCCGUGUGUGUGUGUGUGUUUUCAUCCUGGAUCUAAAAAAGGAAUCCAACCAAAAAUGCUCAGACACAAGCGAAGGAGGAGCUUAGAGAUUCAUGUUGAUUGUAAGUAUGAAAUCACUUUCAACACUACAGGAAAUACACGAAAAUACACAAACAUACAAAAUUUUAAAGUUAUUACUGAGGCACUGCUGACAGCUUCAUGUAAUUUUAUGAAAACGUAUUGGUUAUACUUUGGAGUAUGAUUAUUAU
rnacentral:lncRNA from 1 species